UGCUCUGCACUUCAUCCUUGAGAAGCUGAGAAGAACCACAGGCUUCUUCAGGCAGGUGGUAGAACGUGGGUGUAUCCUGCAGGUGCUCACAGUAUCUCCCUUGGCUCAGGCUCUAGCCUGAUUUUCUGGCUCAUAAGGCCAAAGGGAGCUGGAAAGGUCCCCAGGGCAGGACUCAUGGUGGAGAGAGAAUGGUCUAGAGGAUUCAGGCCUCUGCACACUGUGUCUGGGUCCCUCCUUAAAGAAUGAUAAAGACAAGUAAAGAGCUUGAAGCAGCCUGGAGUCCAGCCAGAAACCUUUAACUGAGCUUUAAAGGAGAUGGUCACAACACUUUUCAUAAUAUUGGCAAAGGCCUCCUGUGGCCAGGUUUGUCCUAGGAUGAGCAUAAUUUAAUAAUGUUAACCUGCUGUAUCUUUGCUUUAAUAUAUCUGCUUGCCCAUCACAAUGACGUUAUGGUUAAUUUCAUCAAUUUGGUAACCUGGCUCACAGGAAGUAGGAAAGUAAGCGAGGACCAGGUGUGGUGACUCAUGCCUGUAAUCCUAGUACUUUGGGUGGCUGAGGCAGGUGGAUUGUUUGAGCCAAAGAGUUCAAGACCAGCCUGCGCACCAUGACAAAAUCCCGUCUCUACAAAAUAUACAAAAAUUAACCAGAUAUGGUAGUGCAUGGCUGUAAUCCCAGCUACUUGGAGGCUGAGGCGGGAGAAUCUCUUGAGCCGGAGAGGCAGAGGGUACAUUGAGCUGAGAUUGCGCCACUGCAUUCCAACCUGGGCAACGAAGUGAGACCCUGUCGCAAAAGAAAAAAAAAUAAAAAGAGAAAGAUGGUGAGGGUUUCCUGUGAAUCAAAUCCUUGAUUGGAUGUUUUCUUAAGUAACCAAGACCUCUGUAAGAAUUCUGUCCUUGAUUCCACAGUAAAGUGGUGUGAAAUUAC